UAGGCAAACACAACAUAACUACUUACCAGAAGACUCAGAAGAAAAUGAGUUUCGUAACAGUUCAUAUGUACAAUUCACCAAUUAUCAAAGCGGUAAGCAUUUAGUACCUUAAGCAUAAAACAUGUAGGAAAAUCAGAUACAACCAAAUACAACAAUUUAUCUAAGCUCAAAUCCUGAACCCUGAACAAAACAUUCUGGGUUCUUUUCCCCAGCGGAGUCGCUAGAGUUGUCACACCUCCUUUUGGCGCGCCUACCCUGGAGGGAUAAAAUGCACAAGGGAGUUUUUUCUAUUUAAGUGACAGUAUUCGAAAUGAGAUUAUUUAUUUAUUUCAGAGUUGCCACUUGGGAAAGGUUUGACUUUUGGUGUCCCAAGUCACCGGUUUAUUUUGAAUCCCAAUUCAAGGAAAAUAUUCGACUUUCCAAAUGAAGUCUGCGAACCAGAAAUUCUAAGUAAGGAAUUCUGUUGACCCGAGGGAAGGUGUUAGGCAUCCCCGGAUCCAAGUGGUUCUAGCACGGUCGCUUAAAUUGUUGUAGUGGCUAAAUAUCUGAUUUUAAAGUAUGUUAUGACUUAUGUGCUUUUAUUAACAGUAAACCGCUUUUAUUGUUAUUUUUUUAAACGAAAGUGAACGUCGUUUCAAGUAUGUUUUCGGAUUGCGCCGCAUGAAAUGAACCUGCAAUCCUAGACAACACCCUAUUCAACGUUUUAGGAUUUGGAUUUGGGUCGCAUAGAAUGCCCACCCAUAUUUUGGAAUGUAAUUUAUUAAAGUUGUGCCUAAUAGAGUCUAACGCGUUGUAGUCUUUUGGGAGGGUCGUGAAAUUCACUAAACGACCCUUCCCGAUUUUUUAAAUAUUUUUAAACCUCUAUUGAGGGCCCCGCAGUUUGUGCAUUUUUAUUUGGCGAGGCAUGCGUCAUUUAUUUUAAAGGGUAAUCCUAGAGUGACUACAUUUUUUCUAUUUAAGUUCGUCUCAAAAAAUAAAAGAGAAAAUUCUUAAUUAAUUACAUCCUUAGGCUACUCUACGUUAGUACAAAAGGUGUUCCCUCACAAACCGACUAAAUGACGAAUUUAUUCUACAAAUUUUAGAACUAACUACAAUUGAUAAAACAAAUAAAAAUGAAAAUAACAACAAAUAUUAAUCAACAACUUGCUUUUCUAUUUCAUUUCAAACUUCAAGCUAAUAAAACAAAAAAUAACAACAAAUAUUAAUCAACAACUUGCUUUUCUAUUUCAUUUCAAAAUUCAACUUCCAAUUCGAGCUUACAUCAACACAUGGUUUUUAGAAUGUGUACCUGGUAUUGAAAAGAAGAGGAAGAUGAGAAAUCAACAGGGCGGUGAAAGUACAUCAAGAACAAUAGUAACAACCAGCAGUAGCUUCAACACCUCCAUUUGCUCUUUUCUAUUAUUAAACUUCCUAAUUAAUAGAACUAAAAUGCUAAGAUUAAAUUAUAAAAAUUAAAAUUAUCUUAAAAUACUAAUUAACUCAUAAUAAUUAUUAUAUUCUAAACUUAAAUGACAAUUAAAACACAAUCACACAAUUUGGACAUUAAAGGCUAAAAAUGUAAAAGAUGCCUAUUUUUGUGAUUUUUAUUUUGUAAAAUAAACUUAAUUACUCCUAAUUGUAGAAUUAAAUCCUAAAUGCAAAUGCGGCGUUUAUUAUUUUUAUAUUUAGCAAAUAAACACGCACGGACAAAUGUAAACAAUAAAAGAAAAACAACACGAAAUCACAACAAUUGCAAAUAAACACAAAUUAUUUUAUUUUGAAUAUUUUGGGAGUAAUUCUCAUAUAGGGCAAAAAUCACGUGCUCACAAUUGUUCCGUGAUUAUCAAAUGGCUGAUACAGUUUCAACGGCAUCACCAACUAUUUUUAGCUUGUUAAACAAAUGACAAAAUGCGUUCUACCUGUCUAGGUAUGGAAAAUGACUUGGAAUAGAUAUAAGUUCUAAGAAGUUAAGACGUCUUGAUGCUUGGAAGUGAAUCCCUAACAGCUGAUUUUCUUUAUCUUAUAAUAACAACAACAACAACUACCCAGUACAUUCCCACCAGGUGGGGUCUGGGGAGGGUAAUAUGUAGACGAGCCUUACCCCUACCCGAAAGGGUAGAGAGGCUGUUUCCAUUCGACCCUCGACGCAUAGGAUAAAAUGAAAAGCUGCAUUGAAACAAAAAUAAAAACAAAAACAAAGACAAAAUUAGAAACAAAAACAGGACAAAACAAAACAAUAAAGCAUUAGUUAAUCCCGCAGAAAUAACAUAAAUAAUUAUGUAAACAUAAGAAACAUAAAUACAGUUGCAUGCAAUAAUAACAAACCGUAACUACCAUACUAACAACCAUAAGGGGACAUAAGCUAAAACACUAAUCAUCUAUGGGUGACCCUGCUAUCCNNNNN
rnacentral:lncRNA from 1 species